rnacentral:rRNA from 1 species
UACGUCGGGUCCGAGCGUUGUCCGGAAUUAUUGGGCGUAAAGAGCUCGUAGGCGGUUUGUCGCGUCUGCUGUGAAAUCCCGAGGCUCAACCUCGGGCCUGCAGUGGGUACGGGCAGACUGGAGUGCGGUAGGGGAGAAUGGAAUUCCUGGUGUAGCGGUGGAAUGCGCAGAUAUCAGGAGGAACACCGAUGGCGAAGGCAGUUCUCUGGGCCGUAACUGACGCUGAGGAGCGAAAGCGUGGGGAGCGAACAGG